UAGAGUUUGAUCAUGGCUCAGAUUGAACGCUGGCGGCAGGCCUAACACAUGCAAGUCGAGCGGCAGCGGGAAAGUAGCUUGCUACUUUUGCCGGCGAGCGGCGGACGGGUGAGUAAUGCCUGGGGAUCUGCCCAGUCGAGGGGGAUAACUACUGGAAACGGUAGCUAAUACCGCAUACGCCCUACGGGGGAAAGCAGGGGACCUUCGGGCCUUGCGCGAUUGGAUGAACCCAGGUGGGAUUAGCUAGUUGGUGAGGUAAUGGCUCACCAAGGCGACGAUCCCUAGCUGGUCUGAGAGGAUGAUCAGCCACACUGGAACUGAGACACGGUCCAGACUCCUACGGGAGGCAGCAGUGGGGAAUAUUGCACAAUGGGGGAAACCCUGAUGCAGCCAUGCCGCGUGUGUGAAGAAGGCCUUCGGGUUGUAAAGCACUUUCAGCGAGGAGGAAAGGUUGGUAGCNAAUAACUGCNAGCUGUGACGUUNCUCNNNNNAGAAGCACCGGCUAACUCCGUGCCAGCAGCCGCGGUAAUACGGAGGGUNCAAGCGUUAAUCGGAAUUACUGGGCGUANAGCGCACGC
rnacentral:rRNA from 1 species